ACUUGAACUGUAUUCCCUUGUUCUCCAAGUAGGCGCCUGAUUGCUAAAACUUGCACUGUAUUCCCUUGUUCUCUAGGUGGGCUCCUGAUUGCUAAAACUUGAACUGUAUUCCCUUGUUUUCUGGGUGGGCGCCUGAUUGCCAAAGCUUGAAACUGUAUUACCUUCUUCUCUAGGUAGGUGCCUGAUUGCCGAAACAUGGACUGUAUUCCCUUGUUGUACAGGUGAGUACCUGAUUGCCAAAACUUGAAUUGAAUUCCCUUGUUUUCUAGAUGGGCACCUGAUUUCGAAAACUUGAAAUGUAUUCCCUUAUUCUCCAAGUUGGCGCCUGAUUGCUAAAACUUGGACUGUAUUCCCUUGUUCUCCAGGUGGGCGCCUGAUUGCCAAAACUUGAAUUGUAUUCCCUUGUUUUCCAGGUGAGCGCCUAAUUUCCAAAACUAGAAAUGUAUUCCCUUGUUCUCCAGGUGGGCGCCUGAGUGCCAAAGCUUGAAACUAUAUUACCUUGUUCUCUAGGUGGGUACCUGAUUGCCAAAACUCGAACUGUAUUCCCUUGUUCUCUAGGUGGGCGCCAUAUUGCCAAAACUUUAAUUGUAUUCCCUUGUUCUCCAGGUGGGCGCCUGAUUUCCAAAACAUGAAAUGUAUUCCUUUGUUCUCCAGGUGGGCGCCUGAUUGCUAAAACUUGAAUUGUAUUCCCUUAUUCUCCAGGUGGGCGCCUGAUUUCCAAAACUUGAAAUGUAUUCCCUUGUUCUCCAGGUGAGCGCCUGAUUGCCGAAAUAUUGACUGUAUUCCCUUGUUCUACAGGUGGGCUCCUGAUUGCCAAAACUUGAAUUGUAUUCCCUUGUUUUCAAAGUGGGCGCUUGAUUUCGAAAAAUUGAAAUGUAUUCCCUUAUUCUCUCCAGGUGGGCGCCUGAUUGCCAAAACUUGGAUUGUAUUUUCUUGUUCUCCAGGUGGGUGCCUGAUUACCAAAACUCUAAUUGUAUUCCCUUGUUUUCCAGGUGGGCGCCUAAUUUCCAAAACUAGAAAUGUAUUCCCUUGUUCUCCAGUUGGCGCCAGAGGGCCCAAACUUAGACUGUAUUCCUUUGUUCUCCAUGUGGGCACCUGGUUGCUAAAAUUUGAACUAUAUUCCUUUGUUCUCCGGGUGGGCGCCUGAUUGCAAAAACUUGAACUGUAUUCCCUUGUUCUCCAAGUAGGCGCCUGAUUGCUAAAACUUGCACUGUAUUCCCUCGUUCUCUAGGUGGGCGCCUGAUUGCUAAAACUUGAACUGUAUUCCCUUGUUCUCCAGGUGGACGCCUGAUUGUUAAAACUUAGACUGUAUUCCUUUGUUCUCCAGGUGGGCACCUGAUUGCUAAAACUUGAACUAUAUUCCUUUGUUCUCCAAGUGGGCACCCGAUUGCUAAAACUUGAACUGUAUUCCCUUGUUUUCUGGGUGGGCGCCUGAUUGCCAAAAAUUGAAUUGUAUUCCCUUGUACUCUAGGUGGGCGCCUGAUUGCUAAAACUUGAAAUGUAUUCCAUUGUUCUCCAGGUGGGCGUCUGAAUGCUAAAACUUGAAUUGUAUUCCCUUGUUUUGCAGGUGGGCGCCUGAUUUCCAAAACUUGAAAUGUAUUCCCUUGUUCUCCAGGUGGGCGCCUGAUUGCUAAAACUUAAGAUGUAUUCCCUUGUUCUCAAUGUGGGUGCCUGAUUGCUAAAACUUGAAUUGUAUUCCCUUGUUUUUUAGGCGGGCACCUGAUUUCCAAAUCCUGAAAUGUAUUCCCUUGUUCUCCAGGUGGGCGCCGGAUUGCCAAAACUUGGACUCUAUUCCCUUAUUUUCCAGGUGGGCACCUGAUUUCUAAAACAUGAAAUGUAUUCCCUUGUUCUCCAUGUGGGCGCCUGAUUGCCGAAACUUAGACUGUAUUCCUUUAUUUUUCAGGUGGGUGCCUGAUUGCUAAAACUUCAACUGUAUUCCCUUAUUCUCUAGGUGGGCGCCUGAUUGCCAAAAAUUGAAUUGUACUCCCUUGUUUUUCAGGUGGGCGCCUGAUUGCUAAAACAUGAAAUGUAUUCCAUUGUUCUCCAGGUGGGCGUCUGAAUGCUAAAACUUGAAUUGUAUUCCCUUGUUAUGCAGGUGGGCGCCUGAUUUCCAAAACUUGAAAUGUAUUCCCUUGUUCUCCAGGUGGACGCCUGAUUGCUAAAACAUGAACUGUAUUCCCUUGUUCUCCAAGUUGGCGCCUGAUUGCUAAAACUUGAUAUGUAUUCCCUUGUUCUCCAAGUGGGCACCCGAUUUCCAAAACUUGAAAUGUUUUCCCUUAUUUUACAGGUGGGCGCCUGAUUGCUAAAACUUGAACUCUAUUCCCUUGUUCUCCAGGUGGGCACUUGAUUGCCGAAACUUUAACUGUAUUCCUUUGUUCUCCAGGUGGGCGUCUGAUUGCCGAAACUUUAACUGUAUUCCUUUGUUCUCCAGGUGGGCGUCUGAUUGCCAAAACAUUAAUUGUAUUCCCUUAUUCUCUAGGUGGGCGCCUGAUUGCCAAAACUUGAACUUUAUUCCAUUGUUCUCUAGGUGGGCAUCUGAUUGCUAAAACUUGAAUUAUAUUCCCUUGUUUUGCAGGUAGGCGCCAGAUUUCCAAAAC
rnacentral:lncRNA from 1 species